rnacentral:rRNA from 1 species
UGGGGAAUAUUGCACAAUGGGCGCAAGCCUGAUGCAGCCAUGCCGCGUGUGUGAAGAAGGCCUUCGGUUGUAAGCACUUUCAGCGAGGAGGAAGGUGGUGGACUUAAUACGUUCAUCAAUUGACGUUACUCGCAGAAGAAGCACCGGCUAACUCCGUGCCAGCAGCCGCGGUAAUACGGAGGGUGCAAGCGUUAAUCGGAAUUACUGGGCGUAAAGCGCACGCAGGCGGUUUGUUAAGUCAGAUGUGAAAUCCCCGGGCUCAACCUGGGAACUGCAUUUGAAACUGGCAAGCUAGAGUCUCGUAGAGGGGGGUAGAAUUCCAGGUGUAGCGGUGAAAUGCGUAGAGAUCUGGAGGAAUACCGGUGGCGAAGGCGGCCCCCUGGACGAAGACUGACGCUCAGGUGCGAAAGCGUGGGGAGCAAACAGGAUUAGAUACCCCUGGUUAGGUCCAGCGCUGUAAACGAUGUCGAUUUUGGAGGUUGUGCCCUUGAGGCGUGGCUUCCGAGCUAACGCGUUAAAUCGACCGCCUGGGGAGUACGG